AGCAAGCGCAACAAGGACGUGGCCUAUUCUGUCUGCAUCUGGAGGCAGCCGGGCUCCAGUCUCUCCGGCAUGGCCAUCGCCGACAUCACCCUGCUGAGCGGCUUCCAGCCCCACAUAGACGAUCUCGACAAGCUGAAGGACCUGUCCGAUCGCUACAUCAGCCACUACGAAGUCCAGGGCCAGAGACUCCUGCUCUACUUCGAGACGGUGAGGGG